CUAGCGACUUCAGAGUUUGAUCCUGGCUCAGGAUGAACGCUAGCGAUAGGCUUAACACAUGCAAGUCGAGGGGCAGCAUGAACAAAGCUUGCUUUGUUUGAUGGCGACCGGCGCACGGGUGCGUAACACGUAUGCAACUUACCCAUAAAACGGGGAUAACCCGGAGAAAUUCGGACUAAUACCCGAUGGUAUUAUUGGAAGGCAUCUUUUGAUAAUUAAAGAUUUAUCGAUUAUGGAUAGGCAUGCGCAUGAUUAGCUAGUUGGUGAGGUAACGGCUCACCAAGGCGACGAUCAUUAGGGGUUCUGAGAGGAAGGUCCCCCACACUGGUACUGAGACACGGACCAG
rnacentral:rRNA from 1 species